AGUAUGUCCUUGUUGUUUUGGACACUGGAGAAAAGGAAUACUACCGCUGGACCUUUGACCAGGAGAACCUACUGUUCUACAAAUCCUCGCCAGACUCAGGGUACGCAGCUUUACCUGUAGGAACACCGGUAAGGAGAGGCAGACAUUGGAAUUAUGAUGAUCAAGAUGGUGGUCCAGAUGAAAAAGGGGUUGUCAUCAUCAACAAAGAUGGAGGAAGGCUAGUCAAGGUAUGCUGGCGUUCACCUUUCGCUGCACAUGAAUUGAAUGUUUACAGAUACGGAGAUCAAGAAAGAUUCGACA